GGUACAGAAACAACUACAACUUUAUUAAUACAAUUGUCGUGCAAAAUACGACAACACAUAAACUGUGAGUUUAAAUACAAAUAUUGUCAUCUAGACAAUAUUCACACCCAAAUAAGUUCUCAUUACAAUUAUUGAUACAUUAUUUUACAAAAAUGGUGAGGACUACUAAAAAUAACUUCCUAGGAUUUUCAUUCCAUACCCCGACUAGUACUCACUAUAUUCUCGCCUCCUGAGAAGAAAAAAUGGAACAAAAAGGAAAAUGGUGAGCUCAACUAGCCCAGUAAAGAAUAUUAUGACUAAGAUAAUAUAGAACAAAUAAUCGUUAGUCUUCAACAUGGAAAAAAUCUGAUAAAAUACAAUAGAUAAUAAGUUUCAGACCAAUAUUCGCAGCGGAAAUAAUAAUUUCAUAGAAGAGUUUCGUAGAGAAUGAAAUCUACUAUUAUCUAUGAAUUUAAAAGUCCAUCAUCAAUAUUUUAUCCCUGUAACAUCAAUCAAUAUACAUCAUGAAUCAAAUAUUCAUCUUUGCACUACAGGCUAAAGAUAUUCAUCAGUUGGUCAUAUUCAUCUCAACACCUGUUCAUCUUUGCACUACGGGCCAAAGAUAUUCAUCAUAAAAUCAUUCAUCUUUGCACUACAGGCCAAAGAUAUUUAGUAAUAUCAUCAUUUAGGACUGAGGAUGAUGAAAAAUAUUUUAAAGAAAACGAAUCCUAGUGAAACAAAAGAAUAAAUAUUAAGGAUUCGUACUUUAAACAAUCCAAGUUCAAAAAUACUUCGUAAAUAAUCAUAGUGAAGUAAAAUUCAAGAAUGAUCAAAACAUGGAUACAAUCAAAGCUAGUAUCCAUAAUAGAUAUUUUGGACAAAAAAUAAAAUUUAAUUUUUUUGUGAAUAGUGCCGUAUUCGUGAAUAGUGUCGUAUACAUGAAUAGUAACCCCGACACUAAAAGACAAGAAUUUCACAAGAAAAAUCUUACCAAUACUCUGGCAUAAUGAUAUUAGAAGAAAUAAUAUCAUUAAAAAAAAUAAUAUCCCUUACCUCGAAGAGAAUGGUACUUCUGGCUGGAAUAUCAGAUAUAACGCUGAAGGAACUUGCACCGUAUAGCAACACUCAAAGUAUCAAAAUACUCACAAGAAUACGCUCGAUAAUAUAGAGAGAGAAAACUUCAGUUUCUGGUGUGAUUUUCAAUUCUAACCUAAGCACUUUAUUUAUAGGAAAAUGCUUAGAACACCAAAACAAAAAAUUUAAUAUAAUAUUAAUAUAAUUAUAAAAUUGUCAACCCCACCUUUGAAAUCUGAUUUCAGCUCAUUUAAAUCACAUGUGAGACCCAGUCAACUCAUCAAAAACGUUUUUCUUAAAAAACAUAACUAAAACUUUCAAAAAUCAAUUAUUUUGGAACUUCGGAACUUCAAUAAUUCAUAAUAAAUAGCUAUUUUAUCAGAAAAAUUUGAACCUUACAUCUUUUCUAUAGAAAAUUCUAUUCUCUACAACUUUUUAAGUUUAAGUUUUUCUAAAUUCCAAACAGAAAUUGACCGAAAUCCACAAACGGGCGAUUUUACAAGCUAUAAUCAAAUUUCAGUCAAGAAAUGGGAUCCACAAACAUGAAAAACAUGUUUUAAAUAUUUUUAGUAACAAAAAUACUCUUCCUCCUCAUUUAUUCAUAUAUCCCACAUUCAUUGUAAAAAUAUCACCAUUAUUAUAUUAUUAUAAUAUAAUAAUAUAUUUAAAUGAAUUAUUUAUCAAAAAAGAUAAAAUAUAAAUUUUUCAACAAUUGUCACUUUAAAAUUUUCUCCAUCUACAUCCACAUAAAAUGAAUAUUUUCUUUAUCAUAUAAAUAAAUAAUUAAUUAUUCACAAAUAAUAUUACAGAAUCACAAUAUCGACAACCAGGCCGUUCCCAGGAAAGAGGGGGCUUUCCAAUAAGGAUUUCUCCUUACUGGCACACAAUUAGGUGACCAAACCUCUCCUUAGACAGAAUUUUCUAGACAUUGCCAAUAAUGUUAUCUAAUAAUAUUAUUCAAAUAAUAUGAAUUAUUGAUCUGAUAAUGGAAAAUACUGUGUAGUGACAAUUAUUGAAACAACAACAAUAUAAAAUAUCAACGCAACAAUUAUUGAAUCAAUAAUAUAAAAUAUUGAACAGUAAUUACUGUAACAAUUAUUGAGUAGUGCCUUCUUACGUAAGAAUCAAUAAUUGGUGCAAUACCGUGUGCUACUGUGUUUUAACCACCGGGUAUUCCAACAGUAUUAACGGUAACAACUACGCCGUUAUUUAUAACCAACUUAUAUUUGUCGUUUUCCUUCAUAUAAUCGCUUUUUGUUAUGGGGCCCACACAAGGCUGCGCCGUCAUACGAAUAUUCCCCGACAGUAAGAAUAUUCCAUGACCAAACGAAUAUUCCCCGACAAUAAUAAAUAUUUUAUAACAACUUGCUUAUUUGAAAUAUUUGCGCAUUUUACCCAUAACUAACCACAUUAAUCAAAUCAACCCUUACUAUUUCAAAAUAAUAAAUAGAGGAAAUUCAAUUUCAUUUAUAAUAAGUUGGCGUCUUACAACCUCCCCUCCUUAUGAAAUUUCGUCCUCGAAAUUGACAUACGUACCUGGUGUUUCGAAAAGGUGAGGAUACCUCGUUUUCAUUUCCGUUUCCAACUCCCAGGUCAUUUCCUCUAUAGCAUGGUUCCUCCACAAAACUUUGACUUAUGGUAUGACCUUUGUGCGUAGGACAUGCUCCUUCAUAUCCAAGAUUUUGACAGGUACCUCUUCGUACGUUAAGUCUUCGGCUAUCUCGUCCGGUUUUAACUCAAUAACGUGGUUCGGGUCUUUCACAUAUUUACAAAGCACAGAUAUGUGAAAAACAUUAUGAACACGAGACAUGCUUGGAGGUAAUGCGAGUCUAUAGAACACAUUUCCUACUCGGUCAAGAAUUUGAAAUGGACCAAUAAAUCGUGGAUUGAGCUUUCUUCUCUUCCCAAAUCUUGUAACUCCCUUCCAUGGAGCAACACUCAACAAUACAUGAUCCCCAAUACUAAAUUCCACGUCCUUUCGAUGAAGAUCCGCAUAACUCUUUUGUCAAAUCUGUGCCGUUUGUAUACGUUGUCGAAUCAUUUGGAUCUUUUUCGUAGUCAUACGUACUAACUCGGGUCCCAACAAUGUUGUUUCACCCACUUCAUCCCAACAUAUUAGAGAGCGACACUUUCGUCCAUACAAUGCUUCGAAUGGAGCCACACCUAUACUUGUCUGACAACUAUUGUUGUAGGAGAAUUCCACCAAUGGUAAAUACUUAUCCCAACUCCCUUUGAAGUUUAGGACACAGAGUCUUAAUAGAUCUUCAAGAGUUUGAAUAGUCCUCUCUGAUUGUCCGUCUGUUUGAGGAUGGUAUGCUGAACUGAAUCGUAAAUCCGUGCCCAUAGUUUUUUGCAAACUAACCCAAAAUCGUGAAGUGAAUCUUGGGUCACGAUUCAAAACAAUGGAUACUGGCAUGCCAUUUAAUCUCAUAAUUUCAUUUACAUAUAUAUGAGAAAGACGUUCAAGGGAAUAAGUCUCCCGUAUCGGCAAGAAAUGAGCAAACUUGGUUAAUCUAUCAAUAAUAACCCAAAUAACCUUUAUACCUUGAGAAACCGUGGGAAGACCCGUAACGAAAUCCAUGGUAAUGUGUUCCCACUUCCAUUUCAGAUUCUCAAGUGGUUGCAAUGGACCCUUAGGUACUUGAUGCUCCGCCUUUACACGUUGACAUGUUAAACACCUCGAGAAAAACUUUUCAAUCUCUCUCUUUAUAUUGUUCCACCAAAAUGUAUGUCGAAGAUCACGAUACAUUUUGGUACUUCCAGGAUGGAUUGCAAACGGUGUAUUUUGUGCCUCCGUUAUGAUCUUGUAUUUCAAAUCAAAGUCAUUAGGAACACAAAGUCUGGAGUGGACUCCAAGUAUUCCUUCUUCAUCGAUUCUCACUUCUGGAAUAACACCUUCUUGUACUUUUUUCUUCAUACGCAUCAGCUCUGGGUCGGUGGCUUGAGCAACUUUAACUUUUUCUAUUAAAGUUGGCUCUAUUCGUAUACUUGACAUCAUCACAUGGGUCCCAGGAGUCUUGAAUUCUAUCUUCAUCUUUUGUAAAUCAUACAAAAUGGGCCUUUGUGUUGACAACAUCGCACUUGUUCCCGCAUAUGAUCUUCUACUCAACGCAUCAGCUACCACGUUCGCUUUUCUAGGAUGGUAUUGAAUAGCGUGGUCGUAAACUUUCAACAGCUCGAGCCAACGUCGUUGCCGCAUGUUGAGUUCCUUUUGGGUGAAGAAAUAUUUGAGGCUUUUAUGGUCUGAAUAUAUCUCCACUUUCUCUCCAUAUAGAUAGUGCCUCCAGAUCUUUAGCGUGAAAAUGACUGCUGCCAACUCUAGAUCAUGAAUAGGAUAAUUCCUCUCAUAUUCUUUAAGUUGUCGUGAGGCAUAGGCUAUGUCUUUCCCAUGUUGUAUGAGAACACAUCCUAACCCUUUCCCCGAAGCAUCGCUGUAGAUAACAAAUCCAUCCGAACCAGAUGGUAUUGUCAGAACACGUGCCGAAAUAAGUCUCCUCUUAAGCUCUUGAAAACUCUUCUCGCAUUCCUCGUUCCAUACGAAUUUUGUAUCUUUCCGAGUCAGCUGAGUUAAUGGAGUAGCGAUUCGAGAAAAUCCUUCCACGAAUCUCCGAUAAUAACUAGCUAAGCCCAGAAAACUACGUACUUCGGGCACCGUCUUCGGUUGCUCCCAACUUUGUAUUGCUUCAAUCUUUGCUGGGUCCAUAGAUACUCCAUGUUUUGACACCACGUGCCCAAGGAAUGCUACUUCCUCAAGCCAGAACUCGCAUUUCUUCAACUUGGCAUAUAGCUUGUUUUCACGAAGCCUUUGGAGUACCAGCUUCAAAUCGUGCUCAUGAUCUUCACGACUUUAGGAAUAUAUGAGGAUGUCAUCAAUAAAGACAACCACGAACUGAUCCAAAUAUUCCUUGAAUACUCGGUUCAUCAUAUCCAUGAAAGUCACAGGACCAUUAGUCAAUCCAAAAGACAUGACUAAGAAUUCAUAAUGCCCGUACCGAGUUCUGAAGGCAGUAUUUGGAAUAUCCUCAGUUCUAAUCUUUAGCUAAUGAUAUCCAGAACGAAGAUCAAUCUUUGAAAAGAAUUGCGCUCCUUGCAACUGGUCAAACAGGUCAUUAAUGCGAGGUAACAGAUACCUAUUCUUGAUGGUGACAUGGUUUAAUUCUCGCUAGUCAAUACAAAGUCGCAUACUUCCGUCUUUCUUCUUUACAAAUAAAAUAGGAGCACCCCAAGGAGAUGUACUAGGACGAAUGAAACCGAUGUCCAAUAACUCUUGUAGUUGAACCUUUAACUCCUGAAGUUCAAUAGGAGCCAUUUGAUAUGGGGUUUUUAGAAAUGGGCUUUGUACCAGGUUCAAGAUCAAUAAAGAAUUCAACUUCACGUUCUGGGGGUAGACCGGGAAGUUCUUCAGGAAAUACGUCAGGAAAUUUAUUAACAACAGGAAUAUUAUUCAAAUCUGACGUGUCUUUAUUCAAAUCCAUAACAUUGGCUAAGAAAGCUUGACAUCCGUUUUUUAAUAAAUAAAUGGCUUUAUGGCUUGAUAUAACAGUGAUUGAUUUUAGUGGUUUAGUUGCUUGAAUUCGCACAACAGGUUGGUUAAGAAUAUGAAAACUAACAACCUUACGAAAAUAAUCAAUUUUGGCAUGAUGAGUAGUUAACCAAUUAAUCCCUAAAAUCACAUCAAAUGCAAGUAUCUUUAAAGAGAUAAGGUCAACAGGUAAGGUGAUGGUGCCAACUUGGAUCAAACAAGAUUUAUAAACAGUGGAUGUAAUGAAAUUUUCUCCUAACGGAGUCUCCACAGAUAAAUCAAAGUCUAAUUUCUCCGGAGUCAAGUUUAAACGUUGAGCACAAGCAGGAGAGAUAAAUGAAUGGGUAGCACCGGUAUCUAGUAAGGUAUAAACUUCGCAAGAAUUUAUGAUUAGCUUACCCGUGAUUACCUCAUUUGGGUUCCUCACAUUUUGACCAGUCACGACAAACGCUCUUCCAGGAACCGUUGACUUUGACUUUUCUGGGACAGCCUUUUGAGUCACCAUCCCCCCUGGACUUGGUUUCGUUACCGUACAAUCUCAAGUGAUAUGUCCUUCUUUUCCACAAUUAUAGCAUACCUUGAACUGUUGUGGACAGUUUGGGCUAAUAUGCCCCUCUUUUUCGCAUUUAUAGCAUACGACCGGUGGUCAUUCUCCUCCCUUAGAACCAGUUGCUGCUGGUACUGACGUCUUCGCAUGGUAAUUGUUGAAUCUCCUCUUUUUAAAAUCUCCUCCCGACUCGCUUCUUCUAUUCUCAUGGCCAUGAUUAUCACCAGAGUGGUUGCCGCUUUUGUCCGUAUUUUUAUUUCUCUGUUGGUUAUCGUUGUUCUGAUGACUGAUGUCACCGGUAUGACUUUGGUUGUGGUCCUUCGAUUAAACGUACUCGUUAUAUCGCUCUAAUAAUUGAGCCAUGUUGACAACAUCUGAAUAUAGAGAAAAUUUAUGAGAAAUGAGAUACUGACGUAUGUCGGGUUUCAAACCUCACAAAAACAUCCGCGUCAUAAGUUCCUUAUUCUCCACCAAAUGAGGUUCAAACCUGGAUAACUCUGCAAACUUCGCCUCGUACUAGGACACCGUCAUGUUGUUUUGUUCUAGUCUAAUAAACUCCACUUCCUUCAUAUGACGAAUACUUUCAGGAAAGUACUUGUCAUUGAACAGUUUCUGAAACGUCUCUCAAGACAUGCUAAGUGUGGCUGGAUGGGUACGCUUCACAGAUUCCCACUAGUAAUCUGCCUCAUUAUGGAACAUAAAAAUGGCGAAUGGAACCUUCUGUUCCUCCAUGCAUCCCAAGACAUCGAAUAUCUUGGUGAUUUAUUUGACCCACGUUUCUGCCUUAAUCGGAUCCGGCUUUCCCCAAAAUUCUGGUGGUCCCAACUCUUUGAAAUGCUUGGCGGUGACAAACCGUGUGUUGUUAUCAUUUCCACCUAUAUUUUGUGCACGAGUCUCCCUCGUCUGAUUUUGCAUGAACUGAAAAAAGCUUCUAAACAUCCUGUCAUUAAUCAUCUGCUCAGUGGUGUUGUUCACAGGAGGAACAUUGUCAGCCUGUUGCACGUUCUCCUCGUUGGUGAGUAAAGGUGUCUCCACGGUUUCAUUUACUCCACUAUUAACAUUCUCAGUCGACAUUCUCAAAUACUGCCAUAAAACAAAGGUUAAUUAAAAAAAUCAACAUAUCACAUAAUAUCCCUAUAUACUGACCAACCAACAAAUAAGCUUAGGUAAGACACACUAGCGAAGGUUUUACUCGUCUCUCCCCUCCUAGUUCUAUUCCCCGAUCUCCGCCAGAGAUCAUAUUCCUAAGCUCUUAUACCAACUGUGACGCCUCCAAAAUAGGUAUACAUCACCCAUUCUGAGUCGUCAAUAACAUGGUACAGAAACAACUACAACUUUAUUAAUACAAUUGCCGUGCAAAAUACGACAACACAUAAAUUGUGAGUUUAAAUACAAAUAUUGUCAUCUAGACAAUAUUCACACCCAAAUAAGUCCUCAUUAAAAUUAUUGAUACAUUAUUUUACAAAAAUGGUGAGGACUACUAAAAAUAACUUCCUAGGACCUUCAUUCCAUACCCCGACUAGUAUUAUCAUUUGGGUUGAUUAAACUUCUAGUAUAGUUUGCUGUAACCUUGUCCAAGAAGGGAACAUAAUCAUGGUAUGCAAUUAUUUUUUUUGGUUGUGUAAACCAUGGUAAUAAAAUUGAAAACCAGUUGGAUGUGUAUGUAACUUGAGAAAGGUUCUUCUUUCUUUCUAAAAAUUUAAAUUAUCUGGCACAUGUACGGAUUAUUUUGUCUGUGUUGUUAGAAAUGGUUUUUUUGACAGAACACUGAUGCUUUAGAUUACAUGUUUUGAUUAGUGUCACUUCACUUAGAAAGGUACUACAUCAAAUGGCUAAAGACCAUCCGAAUAUGCAGAAUAUGCAGGAAGAAACAUAAUGUCUUUUUUCUUUCUUUAUUCAUAUUUUUCUUGAUUCCUUUGUUUUAACUUAAAUUCUUUACCAAGUAGCUUAUCAGCUUACUUUGUUUAAUACAAUCUGUGGAGAGGUGUUACCUCACUUCAUAGGUGCAAGUUGGAUAUUUUCUUUUGGAAUUUGCUUAGUUCUAAUGCAAUUUCAAUAUUUGAUUGUACAAUCAUUAAAAUAGUCUCAUCAUGUUAGCAUCUACUCUGUCACAGUUCUUUUUUCUCUCAUUCCUAUCCAGCUGAAAUAAACUUCAAGAAAUUUUAUGAGGACAACUAUUAUGUUGUUUAAAUACUUAUUAAGUGUGCAUAAUUCAUAACUCCUUAUUUUCGAUAUCAUGAGACAGUCUUGUUCUGAAGUCCCUUAUAGAGAGUUCUUACUCAGCAACUCAUAUAAUAAACAGAGGGAUUUGUAUUUUUUGUUAACAGUUAAAACCAAAUUGUAAAUUUCUAAGAAGAUCCAUUCAUCCUAAAAACAAUAGACAACACCUAGUACACUUGCAGAAACAAACAAAGGAGGAUAUUGUCAUUACAUGAAGAAAAUGCAUACAACAAGAACAAAGGAGGAUAUUGUCAUUACUAACAUACACUUAAAGGAGGAUAUUGUCAUUACUAACAUACACUCAAAUGCAAUCUAUAAACCAAAAGCUAUGCAAAUGAAUAGGAGGAAAGUUUUGGCGUAGUAAAAUUUCAUUCACCAACAAAAGAAGCCAAUUAUGAUAAUCCCGUAAUAAUCUCCAGAGAUUAUUUUUUUCGUAGCAAGUGGUCUUUAGACAUUUCUUAAACAAAUGAAAGUAAACAUAAAACCAAGGAAUGGUUGAACCUCGUCGUACAAGGCUUUAUCAAAAAUUCAGAUACAUCCACCCAACUGCAAACAACAGUCACAAAAUAAAAGGUUUGUAAAUCAUAAAGUAAAUGAUAAAAGACCAAGACUCAAAACAUCACUUGAAUUUAGUGCAUAUGGAGUGAGAUCAGAUGUAUGAGUGCUCAUCUUAAUACUUGAAUGUCAUAACCUCAAGACACAACCAUGAUUACUUAGUGAAACAAAAAUAUUCAACAUCCGACAUUUCUAAAGUGAUACUCGUAAAAAGAAUGAUUAGGACCACACUCAAUAGAAUUAAUGUAGCAAGCAUAAAUACUGUAUAAGAAUAAAAAUCAGAAAAAAAGAAAAAAAAACUCCAGAUGUAUAAAUUGGUAACAAAACGUGGUAAGCAUGGGCCAAUUACGUAGAGUACAAAUAAGUUUUUAAAUUGUUAGAUACUAUGGAUGUGCAACCAAAUACAAAUGUCAAACAAGAAACAUGCAAUUUUCACUACACCAAUAAAGCAUCUGAGCUGUUAACUACAUAAACUUUAAACAAAUGAGGCCUACUUAUAAUUAGUAGCAAUAUAAUUCGUAACUAGAUUUUUCACCCUACUUAUGGUUCAACAUGUUGCCUAAUUAAGAAAAAAAUAACCAAAUUCAAGUAAUUUAUGAUAUCUGCAUUCUACUGUACUUUUUACCCAUUUGUAGAAAAUUCAUUUUUCCUAUUGUGCCAGAGUAUCUCUCAGAUGUAAGGCUCUCCUAAUGCACAAGUGGAAACAUCUUAGAAGAGAAGAGAUGGAAUCGACACCCUCCACAUUCUAGAUUAGAUGAACUACAAUUAGAAAAACAAAUGAAAAAUCUUCUUUGAAAUAAAUAUUAACUAAUAGCAAAAAAUGGGAGAAGAAAGGCAAAUCUUAUCAAAUUCCAAUCUAGAGUGUUUACUUGUUGUGUGGUCAUACACUACUAUACUAGAUACCAUGCCCAAGUAAUAUACUAGAUACCAUGCCCAACUAAAUUCUAAAGCAAGAUUAUAACUAAAAUCCACUUCGUGAGCACAAAUUAUUAUCCCUUGAAGUUCGCAAUAAACCCCUUGAAGAUUCUAGGGUUUGGCCCUCAAAAAUUAUUAGCCCUAAAAAAGUAAUUAUUGAAAACCAAAACACAAAAUCUUUGAAAAUUAAGCAUAAUUUCAACACUAACACCAAGAAAAUCUAUCUACCCACAUCUAAUUUUGUUACCUUGUAGUGAAUCGACAGAUCGAGAGAUGGCUUGGUAUGAAUCGACGAGAUGGGUGGAAUUGAUUCUUGUCGCUUUUGCGAGGAGAUGGCUGAGUCGGUCGUGGCUGUGUCAGUUUUGCGAGGAGAUGGACGAGAUGAAUCCAAGAGAGAUGCAUUCUCUUUACUGUGAAUCAAAGAGAGAGAUGGCUGAGUCAGAAAGAGAAAUGGGGCGUCAAUUUUUUGUUUUUGGCUGAGUCUUAAGUGAGGAGAGAGAAGGAAUAAGGGAGGGUUUAAAUAGG
rnacentral:lncRNA from 1 species